AUGGUCAUGCAAAUUUUAUUUUGGCCGAAUAUGGAGGAGAAAAAGAAAGCCAUUGAAGCUUCCUUAUUUUCGGCACUUGCAUGAAGUGAUUUAGAUCAAGUUAAGCCUCGUACGAGUCUAUAUCGAGGGAAAAACAAAGUAUCGGAUUCGUCGAUCUAAUUUAUCGUUACUGCGAAUGAGGUUGCCAGGUUAGCUCGAGUUGGAGGCCGUCAGAGAUAUUAUCACACUAUCGAGUUAACGCUAUUGGUGUAAGUAAAUCCUAGUGUUUCGAGUCUAUGGCAUGUAUAGGGUUUUAAUGUUGAGUAUGUGAUAUUAUGAUUUAGCCAAAGAUGUUGGCUUGUAUUAAUAAAGUGUUGUAGCCAUGUGAAUUGGCCUAUGUUGGCUAAUGAUGUUGUGGGCCUAAAUGUUUAUUCAUAUAUAUGUAUGAUACUAUAUCUUGUGAUGUGGCUUAUAGUAUGUAUGCCUAGAGAUUAAAAUGA